rnacentral:rRNA from 1 species
UGGGGAAUAUUGGACAAUGGGCGAAAGCCUGAUCCAGCCAUACCGCGUGAGUGAUGAAGGCCUUCGGGUUGUAAAGCUCUGUGGGGAGGAACGAAUAGGCGCGGGUUAAUACCCCGCGUUGUGACGGUACUUCCUUAGCAAGCACCGGCUAACCUCGUGCCAGCAGCCGCGGUAAUACGAGGGGUGCAAACGUUGCUCGGAAUCAUUGGGCGUAAAGCGCGCGUAGGCGGCUUGUUAAGUCGGAUGUGAAAGCCCUUGGCUUAACCAAGGAAGUGCAUCCGAAACUGGCAAGCUAGAGUACGAGAGAGGGUUUUGGAAUUCCCGGUGUAGAGGUGAAAUUCAUAAAUAUCGGGAGGAACACCAGUGGCGAAAGCGGAAACCUGGAUCGAUACUGACGCUAAUGCGCGAAAGCGUGGGGAGCAAACA